CUUCUUCACUGCACUUACUGUCACUUGCAGUUUUAUGUCACAAAUUAUUUAUUUAUUCCACCCCUCCAACCCAGCACCCCCUAGAUGUGAGCUCCAUGAGCUCAGGGAGGGUCUGUCUGGUUCACUUGCCUAGAACAGUACCUGGCACAAACUCAACAAUUUUUUGUGGAAUGAACGAAUGAACAAAAGGAGUCAGGCAGUAGAGGAGGAAGUUUAUGUUUAUGGGGGAAAGUUUGGUGUGAAGACAAACUUAUCAAGGGCAAGCUAAAUAGAUCAUUCUAGGCGGAGGAGGGGAGUGAGAAGUAAUUUAGAAAUGAGAAGGGGCGGGGCCAUCAGGUACAGCCAUGCGGUCUGGCACAUGCGUUGGACGGUGAAUGGUGCCCCCUCCAGUUGUACAGUUCUCAACUUGGACAACAGUACGCGGCGCCCCUGGGGCUAGGGAAGAACACAACAGUUUUGGCCCCCUCAGCUGGGUCCUAGAGAGUGAGGGAGCCUGAGUGGAGGCAGCUCUACAGGUGCCUGCUGCAGGAGGAACAGGCUGUACCCUCCACGAGGACGCCACGUGGUCGCGGUCAGCAGUCUGCCAUCCGGUGGCGUUGUUUCCAUAGACAGCUCAACCAGGGGCAGCAACAGUGCUGCUGUUAACAAUCGCUGGUACCUGGAGCGCCCAGCGGGACACAGGUGGGGAAAUCACCCUGACACACCCCACAAACACACACCAAACGCUGUGGCCAAAGAUAAUCACAGCAGCGGAGGGAGGACUGUUUCCUGAGCCAGCAGUGUGCGCAGGAGGCAGAGGACACUGUGUUCUGAGACCUCUCCACCGAGCAGAGGACUCGGUGAGGAACUCGUCCCCCCCCCCCCCCCCCACCCCGCCCCCAGUCCCACAGUCUGGGCACAACAACAAUUACCCUGUGAUGUGGGGCCCGUCUCUGAUGAGUCACCUUGCCCACAGCAGGGCUUGUCGGGCAGUGUUAUCAGCUCCUCUGCUUACUUAAUUCCUUGGUUGACAUCACCACCGCCUCCGUCUUCUCCUUCUCUGCGCUGGAGCCUGCAGCCUGGUACAUCCUGCAAGGAAAGGCGGUGGAGGUCUCUCAUUGGCCAGAAGCUACCAGGGCAGGAAUCCAGCCACCACACUGUGAAGAAGCCCAAACUAGCCUGCCUGGAGAGACCAAUGGAAACACCCAUGUGGAGAGGAACUGAGGCCCCCAACCUACAGUCAGCACCCACCACGAGCUUUGUGAGUGAAUGAGCCUUCAGAUUAUUCCAAAGUCCAGCCUUGGGUGCCUCCAGCUAAGGCCCUAGACAUCACAGAGCAGAGGACAUAUGCCUUUGGACCUCUGAGUUGCCAGGAGAGAAGUCCAGCUAUUCUGAAGCUGCGUGUGGGAGAGUUCGUGUGCAGAGGCCACAGAGAGACAGAGAGGAACUCCAGCUGGUCCAGCCCUACUUGUUUGAGUCCUCCCAGCCCAGGUGCCACAUAUGUGAGUGAACAAGCCACAGUCACACUCUGACUACAACUUCAUGAGACUCCAAUCCAGAACUGCCCAGCUGAGUUCCCUGUUUCCUGACCCACAGAAACUGUGAAUGGAGAGGAAGUCAUAGAUCUGAAGCCUGAGGGGGAUUCCAUGUACCUUUGAGGACUUGAAGAUGGAAGAGACCAUAUGGAAGGGACCUGAGAGAGUGCAGCUUCUGGGAGCUGAGACAACCAACAAGGAAACAGCACCUCAGUCUGACAACCACAGGAGCAGACUUCUACAACCCAAAAGAGCUUGGGAGCAGAUCCUUUCUCAGAGCUUCUAGACAUGAGCCCAGCCAGCUCACACCUUGAUUUUGGCCUUGCAAGACCCAGGCAGAGAAUCCAGCUGAGCCCACCCGGACUUCUCACCUGCAGAACUGUGAGAUAAUAAACGGCUGUUGAUUUAAGCUGCCAACUUUGCGGGAGUCUGUUAUGCAGCAAUAGAAAGUGAAUACACUCCUUUCUCAUUUCAUCCCGAGAAGGUCUGUGAGGAGGGUCUGAGGACUCCCCCUUUGCAGACAGGGCAGGCUAAGCGAGGUGCUCAGUUUGCACGUGUCCAGGCUGGGGCUCAGGCCCGGGUCCAGCUGAUUUGAAGGCUCUUUGCACCAUGAAUGCUUCUCUGACCUGAACAGCCACAGAUGAACCUUGGGCACUUGGCCUAAGUCAAGGGUGUCUCGUCUUCCCAUUCAGGGGAAGCAGGGAGGGCUGCAUCUUACACCCCCUUUUAUAAGAACCACCCAGCAGCUCCUUCCACGCCACAGCCUGCAGUCUGCAAAGCUGUCCCAGGCCUGCAUGCCCAGCUGAAGAGCAGAGUUCUGGCAGGAAACAGGAGAAGGGCAGUGACCUCGUCCUCCUCCUUCUCAGAUGACACGUCUGGGCUCUGUCAAGGCAAGAGGCAGGAGCUGGGAUGCAAGGAGCAAUAAAGUUUGGCUGUGGCCUUCCCCACUCCCAGUAAAAAGCAUUCUCUGACUGGCUGGGAUGGGGAUUUUUUAAUUUUAUAUUUGCUCCCAUAAUAAUUUGUUGGACACAUAGUUGAAUACCCCCGGGAGUCCAGAAAUGUUUGCAAGGAGAAAGAUUAUGUUUCUGCUUUAUUGAUUAAAAAGC
ensembl:lncRNA